GACGAACGCUGGCGGCGUGCUUAACACAUGCAAGUCGAACGGAAAGGCCCUGCUUUUGUGGGGUGCUCGAGUGGCGAACGGGUGAGUAACACGUGAGUAACCUGCCCUUGACUUUGGGAUAACUUCAGGAAACUGGGGCUAAUACCGGAUAGGAGCUCCUGCUGCAUGGUGGGGGUUGGAAAGUUUCGGCGGUUGGGGAUGGACUCGCGGCUUAUCAGCUUGUUGGUGGGGUAGUGGCUUACCAAGGCUUUGACGGGUAGCCGGCCUGAGAGGGUGACCGGCCACAGUGGGACUGAGAUACGGCCCAGACUCCUACGGGAGGCAGCAGUGGGGAAUAUUGCACAAUGGGCGGAAGCCUGAUGCAGCAACGCCGCGUGCGGGAUGACGGCCUUCGGGUUGUAAACCGAUUUCGACUGUGACGAAGCGUGAGUGACGGUAAUGGGUAAAGAAGCACCGGCUAACUACGUG
rnacentral:rRNA from 1 species